GGCCGAAAGGCGUAGUCGAUGGGAACCAGGUUAAUAUUCCUGGGCCAGGAGAUGGUGACGGAUCCCGAAGGUAGUUCAUCCUUAUCGGAUUGAAUGGGCUGCUUAGGGGUUCCUGGAAAUAGCCCUCCAUGAGACCGUACCCUAAACCGACACAGGUGGACUGGUAGAGAAUACCAAGGCGCUUGAGAGAACCACAUUUAAGGAACUCGGCAAAAUACCUCCGUAAGUUCGCGAGAAGG
rnacentral:rRNA from 1 species